UUUAAAUUGAGAGUUUGAUCCUGGCUCAGGAUGAACGCUGGUGGCGUGCCUAAUACAUGCAAGUCGUACGCUAGCCGCUGAAUUGAUCCUUCGGGUGAAGUGAGGCAAUGACUAGAGUGGCGAACUGGUGAGUAACACGUAAGAAACCUGCCCUUUAGUGGGGGAUAACAUUUGGAAACAGAUGCUAAUACCGCGUAACAACAAAUCACACAUGUGAUCUGUUUGAAAGGUCCUUUUGGAUCGCUAGAGGAUGGUCUUGCGGCGUAUUAGCUUGUUGGUAGGGUAGAAGCCUACCAAGGCAAUGAUGCGUAGCCGAGUUGAGAGACUGGCCGGCCACAUUGGGACUGAGACACUGCCCAAACUCCUACGGGAGGCUGCAGUAGGGAAUUUUCCGCAAUGCACGAAAGUGUGACGGAGCGACGCCGCGUGUGUGAUGAAGGCUUUCGGGUCGUAAAGCACUGUUGUAAGGGAAGAAUAACUGAAUUCAGAGAAAGUUUUCAGCUUGACGGUACCUUACCAGAAAGGGAUGGCUAAAUACGUGCCAGCAGCCGCGGUAAUACGUAUGUCCCGAGCGUUAUCCGGAUUUAUUGGGCGUAAAGCGAGCGCAGACGGUUUAUUAAGUCUGAUGUGAAAUCCCGAGGCCCAACCUCGGAACUGCAUUGGAAACUGAUUUACUUGAGUGCGAUAGAGGCAAGUGGAACUCCAUGUGUAGCGGUGAAAUGCGUAGAUAUGUGGAAGAACACCAGUGGCGAAAGCGGCUUGCUAGAUCGUAACUGACGUUGAGGCUCGAAAGUAUGGGUAGCAAACGGGAUUAGAUACCCCGGUAGUCCAU
rnacentral:rRNA from 1 species